AGCAGCCGCGGUAAUUCCAGCUCCAAUAGCGUAUAUUAAAGUUGUUGCAGUUAAAAAGCUCGUAGUUGAAUUUCGGGAUCAAUAUGUUGGUCGUGCCUCGGUACGUACUAGCUUAUUGGUUUCUCCUUUCUGAAGAACCAUGAUGUCAUUUAUUUGGUGUCGUGGGGAAUCAGGACUGUUACUUUGAAAAAAUUAGAGUGUUUAAAGCAGGCUCACGCUUGAAUACAUUAGCAUGGAAUAAUGAAAUAGGACGUUUGAUUCUAUUUUGUUGGUUUCUAGGAUCGACGUAAUGAUUAAUAGGGAUAGUUGGGGGCAUUAGUAUUCAAUUGUCAGAGGUGAAAUUCUUGGAUUUAUUGAAGACUAACUACUGCGAAAAGCAUUUGCCAAGGAUGUUUUCAUUAAUCAAGAACGAAAGUUAGGGGAUCGAAGACGAUCAGAUACCGUCGUAGUCUUAACCAUAAACUAUGCCGACUAGGGAUCGGA
rnacentral:misc_RNA from 1 species